GGGGUAACGAGAAGAUUAAAAGAGGGAAGCAGAGGAGUUGGGAGCUGGCGGUCGUUCCCGGGGAAGAACUGCUAAAAGAUGAGACCAAGGCACAGACCUUACUGUAUGAGAAGCAAUGCUCCUCAAACCUUCUGCGUCCUGACAUAGACCUUCCCAGAAGCAAAACUGUCGGCCGCGACCUGAGCGCUGGAAGCCGAAGGGGAAGAGGAAGGAGACGCGAGCCAAGGCGGCCGGCACAAAGGCGGCGGACUCGCGGCGGCAGCGCCUGCCCGGCCGGGAGCACAGCCCGCGGCCCUACUCCAGCGAAGUCCCGCACCGGCUUCUAGGAAUAAAGUUUACGUUCUCCGGAGGCCGCACCCCCCACCUCCCACCCAGGACGGCACAUCUCCGCGGCCUCCUCCCCCAAACUCCACUCGGGACCCCGAGAACCACCCCAGCCUUCCGGCCACCACAACAAAGAGCCGCACCGACCGGCGAGGGUAAACAGCGGCGGAGGGCGAGAGGGCGGCGGGGCGAGCGCCUCCACGCAGCAACUCCGGAGUCCCCCGCUUGCCCGAGCGCAGUUUCUCCGCUGCUGUUUCCACCAGCUUUGUAACACUGGGAAUUUACAUCCUCACCCGCACCCCUCACGCCCGAGGAUUUUAAACUCACCUUUACUUUCGAACUGAGAGUUGCGGUAGAUGGGAUUUUUGCCUUUUCCCCAGAUGGUUGAAGGUUAAGAUUUUUGGAAACCCCACCACCUCCUUAUUUCUAUUAUUAUUUCUGCAAGAAAAGUAUAAAGAGAGUUGUAGUGGAGGUGAGAUUUGUGAUCGGGAAAGCCCUCGACUCCCUCCUUCUCCGUCUUCCGCCUCUCUCUCUCUGAUUAGUUCCUAUCCAGCAGCAGAUUGAAGCAGGAGAUGAUUCUUCUCAAGGUUUGUUCAGCAGCUUCACUUCUAGGCGAAGGCUUCAUGAACCAAGUGACGUCAACCAACAAGGCUUCUCUCUCUCUCCUCUCUCUAACAAUGAAAGUUGCUGUUAACAAGGGAAAAAAAGAGAGAGAAUUGUUUAUACCAUUUCAGUUCCAAUAAUAAAUGACCUAUCAGCUCCUAAAGGAGCCAAGGGAGGGGGUUGCUGCUUCUUUCCAAGAAUCCUGUAGCUUUGAGUUUGCACCGUUCCUUGUCCCAGGAAAAAGUUAAGAAACUUAAAAUGUUUUGUUUUGCUUUUAAAGAAGACAGGAUAGAAAAUGGGAUUUAAAACUUAGUUUUUUAAAAACAAAAGCUACAGAGUAGGGAGCAUAGGUCAACUACCAUCUCCACCUAAACUUUUUUUUGUUCUUAAACUCUGAAUUCUACAAACCAAAUAAAUUAAUAUGCCGAGAUUUCGCGGAUGUUAAAACUCAAAAAGCAGGAUGCAAGAUGGUCCCGGGGUAAAAUUCUACUGCCUUUCCACGAACAAAGUUAAACUGGCUGUAAUGUUUACGCACCAAGUUAAAAUAAAAUUUAAAUAAAAGACGUUAAAAUAGUCAAUUGUUUUAAAGUUACAUGCACACACUGUAAAAGGUAAUCUCGAUAGGUUUUUUUCCAGUUUCUGAGAGGUUAGAAAAAAGCAUAGCAAAUUGUAGGCACUAAACACUUUUUAAAAAUCAAGUUAUGAGUAAGACUGGUAGCCCUUUGCUCCUUUAAACUACACACGCAGUCAUAUGCUAUGUGUCUACCCCCAGAAUCUCUUCCAACUCUGUUUUUACCCUUCCACUCCUCCAACCCCAAUUCCCAAAUCCUGCAACCAAUCAAGUUAAAUUAAAGAUACAAUAAUCUUUAGUUAUUGGGAGUAAUGGGUGCCCCAUUCCCUCCCGCAUCCCAUCCUAUAGAUUCCUAAAAAAAACAAUUUUUUUGAAAGCCUUAAUCUUGAUAACAUUUUAUUAGCCAAGAAGAUACGUAUUUUUUUUAGAAGUUCGCUGAGGUACCGUUUUUUCCCUCCAGAACACAAGAAACUCUCAAAGUUCAUAUAACUAAAAAUUGCCUAAUUUAAUUUUCAGGAUGAAGAGUAAGUAAAUAUUAAGCUAUCGGAGAAUAAUUUGAUCAUCUAUGUAUAUUUUAUACAUUUGUGGAUAAAUGCAUCUUAAAAGAUGCUAUUGUUUUAUGUUUCCUCUUCAGCCACUGGCUGUGAUUUUAAUUGUGCUGGAGGAUCUUCAUUAGUAUUAACACAUGGGGAGAUUUCACAAAGCUGCUUCAUUAGGAAAAAAAAAAAGCUUGGCAGACUAGGUCUUUUUGCAUGCACUGAGAAUGUCAGCCUUACCUCGGUCAUUUGUAACAUAAUAAGUGCAAGUACAAUGAUUGCAAUGCAGGAGCUCUGGGGGAAGGGCAGAAAUACUGCCUGUCUAAUAGGGAUAUCUGAAAAGAAGGCUGCUCAUUACAUAGUAAAAUGUAUGCUAAAAAUUAGUGAAGAUGAUGUCUCAGGAGACUGAUGCUAAAUAAAUUAAUGUGCUGAUAUGUUUUUAAUUAUUAUUUUUGUAGUAGUUUAUUUCAUUCUCAGGAUUCACAUUGAGCAGCAAAGCUGUGCUAGCACUUAUUGAUUUUUUUUCCCUGCCACAUUCCCGGAAUACAGAUUUUAAUCAUUUCACUACACCACACUCAGUAAUUUCAUUAAAAAGUGGAAUCUUCCAUCCCCAGAAAAGCAUUUAAUUUCAAUGACAUACAAUUUCUCUUUUAGCAGCAAACUGUCUCUACAGUAAAAACUGGCCUAAGGUUCAAAUGCAUAAUUUAAUCCUGAGUUUUCUUUCCAUGCUCUGCAUUCCUUUCAAGCUAUAAUUUGAGUAACUACCUAAUAACUGUAAUAAGGACAAUAAUUUCCUUAAAAUAUAUUAUUAACUCAUAUUUAAUUAACUCAGAGGCCAAGCUCUGUACAUGUGUGACUGGGUCAACAGUUCUAUAAUCUCAAAAUUUACUAAUAAUGUUCCAGAAGAAAAAUAUAGAUUAAAAUAUAAGUAUGAAUGCACUUAGUAUCUAACACUUCUAUCCCAAGUCACAUACAGAAAAGUUAAUGCAUUGUUCUAUAAUGGUGGUCAUUAAAUAAAUAAUAUUUUUAAGUAUGUGGAACUAAAAAAUGGAAUUCAGUGAUAUUUCUAUGUGUAAAGUAUUGAAUAUUAAUAUUUUAACGAUCUAUUACUGACACUUUACCUAAUCAUUAGCAUUACUGUUGAAAAUAUUUAAUUUUGAAAAGAUAAGGAAAAAGUGCUAGAUUCAAGUUAUCUUGAUUUUCAUAAAGAAUUCUCCCAAAAUGUACUUCGCUUGAAAUAAAGUUAAGUGGCACACUGUAACUUGAAUAAUUAAGAAUACAUCCUUUACUUAAAUACUUCCAACAAUAUACUGCAAAGCAUGGUUCAAUUUUUGGUGCCAAUAAUAUUUUGAAAUAUUGGCACUGCAGAUGCCACACUGGUUUCCCAAACAGUGGUUUCAUAAGGAUAUGUAAUUUAUAUUGCCUGGAUUUUAGAAAAGAAACCUGUGAAAAAAAAAUUUUAAGUAAUAAAAUUCAUUAAU